CUGUCAGGUACAUAGACAACCCGGCCAAAACAUAGAAAACAAAACGUAGAAAUAGAAAUCUAGAAAAAGCCCACAUAAACAGAAAACCCAAAACCACCAAAACAACCAUCUGUCACGCCCUGACCACUCUACUAUGGAAAAUGACCUCUUACAAGGGUCAGGACGUGACAGUGUAUGAAAGUAAUUAUUAUGAUGCUGUAUGUGAAGUCCAUGAACUUCCACCUGGCCUGUUGGAGGACUGAUAGUGAUCAGUUUCAGUAGUACAAUUGAAAUAACACUUCAGUGCUAACCUAACAGCUGUAGAUGGCCUCCACAGGAGUUGCUCAGAGGUAUUCUGUUGUUCUGCUUCAAUAAUCAGUCAGUCAACAACACAGUAUUUACAUAUCUACUUUAUCUCUGUUGUGAACACUGUCAAUCAGUGGUUACAUACUGUUAACACUGUCAAUCAGUGAUUACACAUUUUUAACACUGUCAAUCCCACAACACCAAUAUAGGGCUGCAAUGGAUUCAUGUAUUUAAUGUGUUCAGAAGCAUGUUUAUAUCGGAUUCAAGUGUAGCAUUGCAUUGGAAGUGCUGCAGUCCACCUCUGAGAUCCAGUCAUCCAUCACCUAAGAGUUGACACCUCCAGGCUCCAAGGCCAGGUAUGUCCCAGUAGGUAGCUGGUAGAUCUCAGGUCCAGGUAUGUCCCAGUAGGUAGCUGGUAGGUCUCAGUUCCAGGUAUGUCCCAGUAGGUAGCUGAUAGGUCUCAGGUCCAGGUUUGUCCCAGUAGGUAGCUGGUAGGUCUCAGUUCCAGGUUUGUCCCAGUAGGUAGCUGGUAGGUCUCACGUCCAGGUUUGUCCCAGUAGGUAGCUGGUAGGUCUCAGGUCCAGGUCUCCUGUAGUUUUACUCCCAGUCCUCCCAUCCUCUAUUUGUCUUGGCUCGUCUUGUUGCUUUGGAUCCUGUUUUGGUUCAGAGUAUCUCAGUGCAGGUGAGGUAGAUAUCCUGAGGAGAGGAAUAUUUGCAGAUCUUCCAGCUUUUUAAAUGUUUCUGCUGUUCUGGGACUGCUGACCAACUCAACACCUUCCUCCUCAUGGCCAGUCACCUAGAGUCAUGAAAUAUGUAGAUUAUACUCUCUCUGGAACAGAUUGUCCCUCCAGUUGACCAUACAUGAUUUGAGGUGAACAUGAGUUACAGUGACCAGAUUCAUUCUGCUCUAAUAAGACAAUUAUUCUACUGGAAUUACGGGCUCAACUCGCCAGUGAAUGACAGAGAGUUUCCACUGAGACCACCACAGUCACACACUUUUCCACCCAUAGAAUGAAGGGAUCCAAACAGCUAUCAAGAGAGGUUGAAAUGGUUAACUUUACUGUGUUGUUAUAGAAACUGUAUAUGAACACGUUACAGAGCUAAUCACCUCUCAGCAUGGAACCUGUCUGACUCCAGAAGCCAUGUGUGUGUGUG
rnacentral:lncRNA from 1 species